rnacentral:rRNA from 1 species
GACAGAGGUGCCGAGCGUUAGGCGGAAUCACUGGGCGUAAAGCGCACGUAGGCGGCUUUCUAAGUCAGGGGUGAAAUCCUGGAGCUCAACUCCAGAACUGCCUUUGAUACUGGAGAGCUCGAGUCCGGAAAGAGGUGAGUGGAACUGGCGAGUGUAGAGGUGAAAUUCGUAGAUAUUCGCAAGAACACCAGUGGCGAAGGCGGCUCACUGGUCCGGUACUGACGCUGAGGUGCGAAAGCGUGGGGAGCAACAGGG